rnacentral:rRNA from 1 species
UACGUAGGGGGCUAGCGUUGUCCGGAAUCAUUGGGCGUAAAGAGCGUGUAGGCGGCCCGGUAAGUCCGCUGUGAAAGUCGGGGGCUCAACCCUCGAAUGCCGGUGGAUACUGUCGGGCUAGAGUGCGGAAGAGGCGAGUGGAAUUCCUGGUGUAGCGGUGAAAUGCGCAGAUAUCAGGAGGAACACCAGCGGCGAAGGCGCUGCUCUGGGCCGGUACUGACGCUGAGGAGCGAAAGCGUGGGGAGCGAACAGG